rnacentral:tRNA from 1 species
GGGCUAUAGCUCAGCAAGGUAGAGCACCUCGUUUACACACCGAGAAGGUCUACGGUUCGAG